UACAGAGGUCUCAAGCGUUGUUCGGAUUCAUUGGGCGUAAAGGGUGCGUAGGCGGCGCGGUAAGUCGGGUGUGAAAUCUCGGAGCUUAACUCCGAAACUGCAUUCGAUACUGCCGUGCUUGAGGACUGGAGAGGAGACUGGAAUUUACGGUGUAGCGGUGAAAUGCGUAGAUAUCGUAAGGAAGACCAGUGGCGAAGGCGGGUCUCUGGACAGUCCUGACGCUGAGGCACGAAGGCCAGGGAGCAAACGGG
rnacentral:rRNA from 1 species